GAUUGGAUAAGCGCUGAAAGCAUCUAAGUGCGAAGCCAGCCGCAAGAUGAGAACUCCAUUGAGGGUCGUCAGAGACGAUGACGUUGAUAGGAUGCAGGUGUAAAGACAGUGAUGUCAAAGCCGAGCAUUACUAAUUGCCCGAACACUUUCUUUAG
rnacentral:rRNA from 1 species